rnacentral:rRNA from 1 species
AGAGUUUGAUCCUGGCUCAGAUUGAACGCUGGCGGCAUGGAUUAGGCAUGCAAGUCGGACGCGAAGCCGUCUUCGGACGGCGGAAAGUGGCGAAAGGGUGAGUAACACGUGAGCAACCUGCCCCCCGGUUCGGAAUAGCCCGCGGAAACGCGGAUUAAUACCGGAUGUCGCGGAAGUGGCCGCCUGGCCGUUUCCGCGAAAGAUUUAUCGCCGGGGGAUGGGCUCGCGCCCCAUUAGCUAGUUGGCGGGGUAACGGCCCACCAAGGCUACGACGGGUAGGUGGUCUGAGAGGACGGCCACCCACACCGGGACUGAGACACUGCCCGGACUCCUACGGGAGGCUGCAGUCGAGAAUCUUCCGCAAUGGGCGAAAGCCUGACGGAGCAAUGCCGCGUGGGGGACGAAGGCCCUCGGGUCGUAAACCCCUGUCAGAUGGGACGAAUUUUGACGGUACCAUCAGAGGAAGCCACGGCUAACUACGUGCCAGCAGCCGCGGUAAUACGUAGGUGGCGAGCGUUAAUCGGAUUUACUGGGCGUAAAGGGUCCGUAGGGGGUCUGCCAAGUCGGCUGUGAAAUGCCGCGGCUCAACCGCGGCACUGCACUCGAUACUGGCGGGCUUGAGUCCGCGAGGGGUGAACGGAAUUCCUGGUGUAGCGGUGGAAUGCGUAGAUAUCAGGAAGAACGCCGAUGGCGAAAGCGGUUCACUGGCGCGGCACUGACCCUGAGGGACGAAAGCGUGGGUAGCAAACAGGAUUAGAUACCCUGGUAGUCCACGCCGUAAACGUUGUGCGCUAGAUGUGGGGGGACUGAUCCCCUCCGUGUCCAAGCUAACGCGAUAAGCGCACCGCCUGGGGACUACGGUCGCAAGACUAAAACUCAAAGGAAUUGACGGGGGCCCGCACAAGCGGUGGAGCAUGUGGCUUAAUUCGAGGCAACGCGAAGAACCUUACCCGGGUUUGACAUAUACCGGACCGGCGCCGGAAACGGGCCCUCCCUUCGGGGCCGGUAUACAGAUGCUGCAUGGCUGUCGUCAGCUCGUGCCGUGAGGUGUUCGGUUAAGUCCGGCAACGAGCGCAACCCGCGUCGUCAGUUACCAGCGCGUAGUGGCGGGGACUCUGGCGAGACUGCCCGUGUCAAGCGGGAGGAAGGCGCGGACGACGUCAAGUCCGUAUGGCUCCUACAUCCGGGGCUGCACACGUGCUACAAUGGCCGGUACAAUGGGACGCGAUGCCGCGAGGCGGAGCCAAUCCCCAAAGCCGGCCCCAGUUCGGAUCGGAGUCUGCAACUCGACUCCGUGAAGUCGGAAUCGCUAGUAAAGGGACAUCAGCAACGGUCCCUUGAAUACGUUCCCGGGCCUUGUACACACCGCCCGUCACAUCAUGGAAGCCGGCUGCACCCGUAGUCGCCGUCCCGACCCGCAAGGGGGGGAGGCGCCGAAGGUGUGUCCGGUAACUGGGAUGAAGUCGUAACAAGGUAGCCGUAGGGGAACCUGCGGCUG